rnacentral:piRNA from 1 species
CAUUCGCAAAGAGCCCAGAGG